rnacentral:rRNA from 1 species
CUACGGGUGGCAGCAGUGGGGAAUAUUGCACAAUGGGCGCAAGCCUGAUGCAGCAACGCCGUGUGAGUGAAGAAGGCCUUCGGGUUGUAAAACUCUGUCCUAAGGGAAGAAACAAAUGACGGUACCUUAGGAGGAAGCCCCGGCUAACUACGUGCCAGCAGCCGCGGUAAUACGUAGGGGGCAAGCGUUAUCCGGAAUCACUGGGCGUAAAGGGUGCGUAGGCGGCCUAUCAAGUCAGAAGUGAAAGGCAUUGGCUCAACCAAUGUAAGCUUUUGAAACUGUUGGGCUUGAGUGCAGGAGAGGUAAGUGGAAUUCCUAGUGUAGAGGUGAAAUUCGUAGAUAUUAGGAGGAACACCAGUGGCGAAGGCGACUUACUGGACUGUAACUGACGCUGAGGCACGAAAGCGUGGGGAGCGAACAGGAUUAGAUACCCCGUAGUC